rnacentral:rRNA from 1 species
AUUGAACGCUGGCGGAAUGCUUUACACAUGCAAGUCGAACGGCAGCAUAGAGAGCUUGCUCUCUGAUGGCGAGUGGCGAACGGGUGAGUAAUAUAUCGGAACGUACCCAGUAAUGGGGGAUAACGAAUCGAAAGAUUCUCUAAUACCGCAUACGCCCUACGGGGGAAAGCGGGGGAGCGUAAGACCUCGCGUUAUUGGAGCGGUCGAUAUCUGAUUAGCUAGUUGGAGAGGUAAAGGCUCACCAAGGCGACGAUCAGUAGCUGGUCUGAGAGGACGACCAGCCACACUGGAACUGAGACACGGUCCAGACUCCUACGGGAGGCAGCAGUGGGGAAUUUUGGACAAUGGGGGCAACCCUGAUCCAGCCAUUCCGCGUGAGUGAAGAAGGCCUUCGGGUUGUAAAGCUCUUUCGCAAGGGAAGAAAACUUAUCUACUAAUACUAGGUGAGGCUGACGGUACCUUGAUAAGAAGCACCGGCUAACUACGUGCCAGCCGCCGCCGUAA